rnacentral:rRNA from 1 species
UACCAGCACCCCGAGUGGUCGGGACGUUAUUGGGCCUAAAGCAUCCGUAGCCGGUUCUACAAGUCUUCCGUUAAAUCCACCUGCUCAACAGAUGGGCCGCGGGGGAUACUACAGGGCUAGGAGGCGGGAGAGGCAAACGGUACUCAGUGGGUAGGGGUAAAAUCCACUGAUCCACUGAAGACCACCAGUGGCGAAGGCGGUUUGCCAGAACGCGCUCGACGGUGAGGGAUGAAAGCUGGGGGAGCAAACCGG